GACUCUCGGCAACGGAUAUCUCGGCUCUCGCAUCGAUGAAGAACGUAGCAAAAUGCGAUACUUGGUGUGAAUUGCAGAAUCCCGUGAACCAUUGAAUCUUUGAACGCAAGUUGCGCCCGAAGCCAUCCGGCCGAGGGCACGCCUGCCUGGGCGUCACGCAUCG
rnacentral:rRNA from 1 species